GACGAACGCUGGCGGCGUGCUUAACACAUGCAAGUCGAACGGAAAGGCCCUGCUUUUGUGGGGUGCUCGAGUGGCGAACGGGUGAGUAACACGUGAGUAACCUGCCCUUGACUUUGGAAUAACUUCAGGAAACUGGGGCUAAUACCGGAUAGGAGCUCCUGCUGCAUGGUGGGGGUUGGAAAGUUUCGGCGGUUGGGGAUGGACUCGCGGCUUAUCAGCUUGUUGGUGGGGUAGUGGCUUACCAAGGCUUUGACGGGUAGCCGGCCUGAGAGGGUGAACGGCCACAUUGGGACUGAGAUACGGCCCAGACUCCUACGGGAGGCAGCAGUGGGGAGUAUUGCACAAUGGGCGGAAGCCUGAUGCAGCAACGCCGCGUGCGGGAUGACGGCCUUCGGGUUGUAAACCGCUUUCGCCUGUGACGAAGCGUGAGUGACGGUAAUGGGUAAAGAAGCACCGGCUAACUACGUG
rnacentral:rRNA from 1 species